rnacentral:rRNA from 1 species
CGCGGUAAUACGGAGGAUCCGAGCGUUAUCCGGAUUUAUUGGGUUUAAAGGGUGCGUAGGCGGUCCUGCAAGUGGUGCGUGAAAGCGCCCGGCUCAACCGGGCGAGGACGUGGGCGAACUGCAGGGCUAGAGGCAGGUAGAGGCGUGUGGAAUUCCGGGUGUAGUGGUGAAAUGCGUAGAGAUCCGGAGGAACACCAGUGGCGAAGGCGACACGCUGGGCCUGGCCUGACGCUGAGAGGCGAAAGCAUGGGGAGCGAACGGG